GGGCCAGGGCGGUGGAGGGGCGGGGCCAGGGCGUGGAGGGGAGGGCCAGGGCGGUGGAGGGGAGGGGCCAGGGCGUGGAGGGGAGGGGCCAGGGCGUGGAGGGGAGGGGCCAGGGCGUGGAGGGGAGGGGCCAGGGCGUGGAGGGGAGGGGCGUGCUCUGCUGACACCGCCCCCGCCUGCAGAAUGCAAGUGCGGCCCCAUAGAUCUCCUGUUCGUGCUGGACAGCUCAGAGAGCAUCGGCCUGCAGAACUUCGAGAUUGCCAAGGACUUCGUCGUCAAAGUCAUCGACCGGCUGAGCCGGGAUGAGCUGGUCAAGUUCGAGCCAGGGCAGUCAUACGCCGGUGUGGUGCAGUACAGCCACAGCCAGAUGCAGGAGCACGUGAGCCUGCGCAGCCCCAGCAUCAGGAACGUGCAGGAGCUCAAGGAAGCCAUCAAGAGCCUACAGUGGAUGGCUGGCGGCACCUUCACCGGCGAGGCCCUGCAGUACACGCGGGACCAGCUGCUGCCGCCCAGCCCAAACAACCGCAUCGCCCUGGUCAUCACUGACGGGCGCUCAGACACUCAGAGGGACACCACACCACUCAACGUGCUCUGCAGCCCCGGCAUCCAGGUGGUCUCAGUGGGCAUCAAAGACGUGUUUGACUUCGUCCCAGGCUCCGACCAGCUCAAUGUCAUUUCUUGCCAAGGCCUGGCACCGUCCCAGGGCCGGCCCGGCCUCUCGCUGGUCAAGGAGAACUACGCAGAGCUGCUGGAGGACGCCUUCCUGAAGAAUGUCACCGCCCAGAUCUGCAUAGACAAGAAGUGUCCAGAUUACACCUGCCCCAUCACGUUCUCCUCCCCGGCUGACAUCACCAUCCUGCUGGACGGCUCCGCCAGCGUGGGCAGCCACAAUUUUGACACCACCAAGCGCUUCGCCAAGCGCCUGGCCGAGCGCUUCCUCACAGCGGGCAGGACGGACCCCGCCCACGAUGUGCGGGUGGCAGUGGUACAGUACAGCGGCACGGGCCAGCAGCGGCCAGAGCGGGCGUCGCUGCAGUUCCUGCAGAACUACACGGCCCUGGCCAGUGCCGUCGAUGCCAUGGGCUUUAUCAACGACGCCACCGACGUCAACGAUGCCCUGGGCUAUGUGACCCGCUUCUACCGCGAGGCCUCAUCCGGCGCUGCUAAGAAGAGGCUGCUGCUCUUCUCAGAUGGCAACUCACAGGGCGCCACGCCCGCUGCCAUUGAGAAGGCCGUGCAGGAGGCCCAGCGGGCGGGCAUCGAGAUCUUCGUGGUGGUUGUGGGCCACCAGGUGAAUGAGCCCCACAUCCGCGUCCUGGUCACCGGCAAGACGGCCGAGUAUGACGUGGCCUACGGCGAGCGCCACCUGUUCCGUGUCCCCAGCUACCAGGCCCUGCUCCGCGGUGUCUUCCACCAGACAGUCUCCAGGAAGGUGGCGCUGGGCUAGCCCGCCCCGCAAGCGGGCACCAAACCCUGUCCUCCCACCCCUCCCCACUCAUCACUAAACAGAGUAAAAUGUGAUGUGAAUUUUCCCGACCAACCAGAUUCGCUAGAUUUUUUUUAAGGAAAAACUUGGAAAGCCAGGACACAACGCUGCUGCCUGCUUUGCACAGGGCCCUCCGGGGCUCAGCCCUGAGCUGGCAUCACCUGCGCAGGCCCCUCUGGGGCUCAGCCCUGAGCUAUUGUCACCUGCGCAGGGCCCUCUGGGGCUCAGCCCUGAGCUGGCGUCACCUGGGUUCCCCACCCCGGGCUCUCCUGCCCUGCCCUCCUGCCCUCCCUCCCUCCUGCCUUCCCAGCUCCUUCCCUAGGCACCUCUGUGCUGCGUCCCACCAGCCUGAGCCAGACGCCCUCUCGGGUCCUGUGCCGCACUAGCCUGUCUCUCUCCUCUGUCCCCAUAGCUGGCUUUUCCCACCAAUCCUCACCUAACAGUUACUUUACAGUUAAAGUCAAAGCAAGCUCUUCUCAGCUUGGGGCAGCCAUUGGCCUCUGUCUCAUUUUGGGAAACCAAGGUCAGGAGGCCGUUGUAGACAUAAAUCUCGGCGACUCGGCCCCGUCUCCUGAGGGUCCUGCUGCUGACCGGCCUGGACCUCGGCCCCACAGCCCUAGAGGCCGCUGCUGACCAGCACUGACCCCGACCUCAGAGAGUACUCGCAGGGGCGCUGGCUGCACUCAAGACCCUCGAGAUUAACGGUGCUAACCCCGUCCGCUCCUCCCUCCCGCAGAGACCGGGGCCUGGACUGGACAUGAGAGCCCCUUGGUGCCACAGAGGGCUGUGUCUUACUAGAAACAACGCAAACCUCUCCUUCCUCAGAACAGUGAUGUGUUCGACGUUUUAUCAAAGGCCCCCUUUCUAUGUUCAUGUUAGUUUUGCUCCUUCUGUGUUUUCUGAACCAUAUCCAUGUCGCCGACUGUUCCAAAUAAAGGUUUUCACUACUCUC
rnacentral:sRNA from 1 species